GGGCUCAUAGCUCAGUUGGUAGAGCAUCUGACUUUUAAUCAGAGGGUCACAGGUUCGAGCCCCGUUGAGCCCACCA
rnacentral:tRNA from 1 species